AGCGAACGCUGGCGGCAGGCCUAACACAUGCAAGUCGAACGGCCCUUCGGGGUAGUGGCGGACGGGUGAGUAACGCGUGGGAAUGUGCCCUUUGGUACGGAACAACUGAGGGAAACUUCAGCUAAUACCGUAUGUGCCCUUCGGGGGAAAGAUUUAUCGCCAUUGGAGCAGCCCGCGUUGGAUUAGGUAGUUGGUGGGGUAAAGGCCUACCAAGCCUACGAUCCAUAGCUGGUCUGAGAGGAUGAUCAGCCACAUUGGGACUGAGACACGGCCCAAACUCCUACGGGAGGCAGCAGUGGGGAAUCUUGCGCAAUGGGCGAAAGCCUGACGCAGCCAUGCCGCGUGUAUGAUGAAGGUCUUAGGAUUGUAAAAUACUUUCACCGGGGAAGAUAAUGACGGUACCCGGAGAAGAAGCCCCGGCUAACUUCGUGCCAGCAGCCGCGGUAAU
rnacentral:rRNA from 1 species